rnacentral:rRNA from 1 species
UACAGAGGGUGCUAGCGUUGUUCGGAAUCACUGGGCGUAAAGCGCGCGUAGGCGGCUUACCAAGUCAGAUGUGAAAUCUCGGGGCUUAACUCCGAACGUGCAUUUGAAACUGGUAGGCUAGAGUACAUUAGAGGUUGGUGGAAUACACAGUGUAGAGGUGAAAUUCGUAGAUAUUGUGUGGAACACCGGUGGCGAAGGCGGCCAACUGGGAUGUAACUGACGCUGAGGUGCGAAAGCGUGGGGAUCAAACAGG